GGUGCUGCUGUGGCUUAGGUGGUCAAAGCACCUGUCUACUAAACAGGAGAUCCUGGGUUCGAAUCCCAAGCAGUACCU